rnacentral:rRNA from 1 species
GUGGGGAAUAUUGCACAAUGGGGGAAACCCUGAUGCAGCAACGCCGCGUGAGCGAAGAAGUAUUUCGGUAUGUAAAGCUCUAUCAGCAGGGAAGAAAUUGACGGUACCUGAGUAAGAAGCUCCGGCUAAAUACGUGCCAGCAGCCGCGGUAAUACGUAUGGAGCAAGCGUUAUCCGGAUUUACUGGGCGUAAAGGGAGCGUAGGCGGCCCGCCAAGUCUGAUGUGAAAUACCGGGGCUCAACCCCGGGGCUGCAUUGGAAACUGGCAGGCUGGAGUGUCGGAGAGGCAGGCGGAAUUCCUAGUGUAGCGGUGAAAUGCGUAGAUAUUAGGAGGAACACCAGUGGCGAAGGCGGCCUGCUGGACGAUGACUGACGCUGAGGCUCGAAAGCGUGGGGAGCAAACAGG